rnacentral:rRNA from 1 species
UGAACCACUUCGGUGGGGAUUAGUGGCGAACGGGUGAGUAACACGUGGGCAAUCUGCCCUUCACUCUGGGACAAGCCCUGGAAACGGGGUCUAAUACCGGAUACCACUACCACGGGCAUCUGUGGUGGUUGAAAGCUCCGGCGGUGAAGGAUGAGCCCGCGGCCUAUCAGCUUGUUGGUGAGGUAAUGGCUCACCAAGGCGACGACGGGUAGCCGGCCUGAGAGGGCGACCGGCCACACUGGGACUGAGACACGGCCCAGACUCCUACGGGAGGCAGCAGUGGGGAAUAUUGCACAAUGGGCGAAAGCCUGAUGCAGCGACGCCGCGUGAGGGAUGACGGCCUUCGGGUUGUAAACCUCUUUCAGCAGGGAAGAAGCGAAAGUGACGGUACCUGCAGAAGAAGCGCCGGCUAACUACGUGCCAGCAGCCGCGGUAAUACGUAGGGCGCAAGCGUUGUCCGGAAUUAUUGGGCGUAAAGAGCUCGUAGGCGGCUUGUCACGUCGGGUGUGAAAGCCCGGGGCUUAACCCCGGGUCUGCAUUCGAUACGGGCUAGCUAGAGUGUGGUAGGGGAGAUCGGAAUUCCUGGUGUAGCGGUGAAAUGCGCAGAUAUCAGGAGGAACACCGGUGGCGAAGGCGGAUCUCUGGGCCAUUACUGACGCUGAGGAGCGAAAGCGUGGGGAGCGAACAGGAUUAGAUACCCUGGUAGUCCACGCCGUAAACGGUGGGAACUAGGUGUUGGCGACAUUCCAC